AACAGUCUCUGGGACACUGAACCCACUUCACCUCAGCACAAAAACAGCUGGCCUCAUUCAUCAUGUGUAGCCGAUUCAGCUUCUCUGGGAAACUCCAAAACCCUCUCAAAGGGUCCUCAACCUCUGCCCUCAAACCACUAUCGCCGUGAGGAUGACGAUGACAAUGACAAUGACGAUGCUGAUGACAAUGAUGGCCUGUGUGCAACACUCUGCUGGCCCUCCCAGAGGCUCUACCAGGAAUCCCCCACAGCCUGGGACUUCUGCUCCUGGAAACAGUUAAGGCUUUGGCAAGAGGCUCUCCCACAAGACCUUUCUGCGUCACUGAGAAAUAUUUGCAGACCUCAACAAUCUUUUAUCUUCGUGAUGAUGUUCCAGCCUUCCAAGUUUCGGACAUCCUAAGAAAUUCUUUGAUUUGGGCUCUCUAAUGAUCUCCCAUGAACAAUUAUCCCAUUAA
rnacentral:lncRNA from 1 species